CUUUCUUUCUUUCCUUUUUUUCCUCCUUUUCUCUUUCUCUCUCUCUUUCUCUCUCUCUCUUUCUCUUUCGUCUUCUCGACCGCCGUCACGCAUCAAGGCCUCGCGAGGCAGUAGUAUAUUAUCGAUUAAUAUUAUUCAGUAACUAUGCAUCAGAGACGAUCCAUAUUUUUUUUUUUUUUUUUUAAUCGUUAACGCUAUUUUUCUUACCGUCUUCCCGCCGUCGUCGCAGUAACUACAUCUACAUCUCCAAGCCCUUAUUACACUACACUCCUGGUGUAUCAUUUGGAUAAUUCUUUCUCGAUUAUUUCGUCAAAAUAAUGUUCUUGCGCUUGCUCACGCUCCACGCGAGCGCGAGCAUCUUCGCCCUCCCUCUCCCUGAUCAUCAUCCUUUCUCUUUCUUUCUCGUUGUCCUUGUCGUUUCUCGCUCGUUUUUUGUUCGCUCAAUGCACGGUUACACGCGUCUACGAACGAGUUCUCGACCGAUCGAAUAACGUAAACAGAGAAAUGUGACCGGGCAAAGUGAGUGAAAAAAAACUGUGUACGGGUCGAAAGGAUAUAAUGGAGAAUGGCUAGUUAUUGCACUCGUGUGGAGAAACGGUCGAUCCUGGCCUGCUUCGUUUCGCUUUAUUCGAAAGCGGUCGAAGGGAUCGUUUUCGAAAUCGUCGAUCUAGACGAUUCUCUCCCUUUAAAGCGCUAUUGUCGGGGCUAUUGUCAAUCGGAUUAAGAUUGUGUAAAAUGUAUACACAAGUGUGUAUAUAUAUAUAUAUAUAUAUAUAUAUGGGCACAAUGCGAAAAAGGAAAGUACAGAGUCUGGCAAACAUCGGUGAGAAAUAUUUUUUUCGCUGGUAAAAAAAAAAAAAAAAAAAAAUUAUGAAAGAUGUGUAUCGCUUGAAACCGUUGAUAUUUCGUCAAGUUGAAAUAUAAGUUUACGAAUUACGGAUUAAUUUGCUAAUUCACGUAAGGAUCAAUUUUGCGGCGGUACUCGAUCGUUGAAUGGAAACAAAUAUAUUAUAUACGUAUAUAUGUAUAUAAUAUAUAUAUAUAUUAAAAAAAAUAAAAAAAAGAAAAAGAAUUGUAAAAAUCAACGCGUGUAAUUGGCAAAGGUAUUAGAUAUAUAUAUAUAUGUAUGUUUGGGUGACGUUCUGAUACUUUUCGUCUUUUCGACACAUUUAUUUAAUCAAACGUACGAAAUACGAUUUGGACUCGCUUAUUUAGAACGUUAAUACUAUAGUCGCAAAAUCAUAAUGCAACACUGAAUGCGAAUCGUAGAUUUAUCGCGUUUUUUUUUUUUUUUUUUUUAAAUACGGAUCAGUCUUAAGUGGAAAGUUCGCAUACGAACCUAUUCGUCGUUCGUUUAUCCUCCUAACACGCUUAACA